UACGAAGGGGCUAGCGUUGUUCGGAAUUACUGGGCGUAAAGCGCACGUAGGCGGGUCGUUAAGUCAGGGGUGAAAUCCCAGAGCUCAACUCUGGAACUGCCUUUGAUACUGGCGACCUAGAGUCCGGAAGAGGUUAGUGGAAUUCCCAGUGUAGAGGUGAAAUUCGUAGAUAUUGGGAAGAACACCAGUGGCGAAGGCGGCUAACUGGUCCGGUACUGGACGCUGAGG
rnacentral:rRNA from 1 species